ensembl:lncRNA
CUACAGUAUAGCCCCAUCAAGCCCCACCCUACCAUCGCCACUGCUGUCAUACUAUGAAUGAGAACAAUUCAGACAGAAUCCUGACUGUUUAAAUUUAGCCCUCUAAAUUGGGCAGAACAGUUUUUCUCUGCACUUCAUCCAGAGAAUAAUUCACCAGGAAGAAAGGAGAUAGACCAGAGACAGAGCAGACUCUGACAGAGGUUAGAGGUUAAUGCAUAAGCAAGGUCCUUCUUUAAGAUGUGCCUGUUGAAUAAUUCAAAAGAGCUUUUGGCUACAGUCCAUUUACAAGGAUUGAGGUUUCAAUCUAUAAACAGGGGCAUUUCAAAAUGAACAAAUUCCACCAAGUGCAAGAUUUCUAAAUCAGUAGAAAUGAUCAGAAAUUCAAGCUCAAAAUAGGUACUGUAUGUGACGAGUGGGGUGGGGCCGAGAGCCGUGGGAACAGAGCGAGGCCGGUGGAGUGAUUGGGAAAUGAGCGACCAGUCUCGAGUCCCACGGAGGAGAUUGGGAGGAUACAAAAGAGGAGCGACGACAGUGAAGGAUAAGAGAGGGGCUGUCGCACUGUUUUAUCUUUAUUUGGUUAUUAAAGUUUUAUUUGAAUGUCCGCCGGUUCCCGCCUCCUUCUUCCCGUAAUUAUGGAGUUUUUAUAUGUUACACUGUAAUAAUAAAGUUCUACAGUAUUUGGUUAGUAUAUGUUAUUUCUUCACUGACUACAACUAUUUUAACACAUUAUACUGUAUAUUAUUUUGACCCAUCAGUUUUCAAAGGGUUUUUCACAAAGAGUCUGUCUUAACAAGCAUGUGUAAAUACAUGUAAAUAUCACUUCCUGUCACG